rnacentral:rRNA from 1 species
UACAGAGGUCCCGAGCGUUGUUCGGGUUCAUUGGGCGUAAAGGGUGCGUAGGCGGCGGGGCAAGUCUGAUGUGAAAUCCCGGGGCUCAACCCCGGAACUGCAUUGGAUACUGCCUUGCUAGAGUACUGGAGAGGGAACUGGAAUUUACGGUGUAGCAGUGAAAUGCGUAGAGAUCGUAAGGAAGGCCAGUGGCGAAGGCGAGUUCCUGGACAGUUACUGACGCUGAGGCACGAAGGCCAGGGGAGCAAACGGG